AGUAACGCGUAGGUAACCUGCCUGGUAGCGGGGGAUAACUAUUGGAAACGAUAGCUAAUACCGCAUAAGAGUAGAUGUUGCAUGACAUUUACUUAAAAGGUGCAAUUGCAUCACUACCAGAUGGACCUGCGUUGUAUUAGCUAGUUGGUGGGGUAACGGCUCACCAAGGCAACGAUACAUAGCCGACCUGAGAGGGUGAUCGGCCACACUGGGACUGAGACACGGCCCAG
rnacentral:rRNA from 1 species